GGGUGAGUAACACGUAUCCAACCUGCCGUCUACUCUUGGACAGCCUUCUGAAAGGAAGAUUAAUACAAGAUGGCAUCAUGAGUCCACAUGUUCACAUGAUUAAAGGUAUUCCGGUAGACGAUGGGGAUGCGUUCCAUUAGAUAGUAGGCGGGGUAACGGCCCACCUAGUCUUCGAUGGAUAGGGGUUCUGAGAGGAAGGUCCCCCACAUUGGAACUGAGACACGGUCCAAACUCCUACGGGAGGCAGCAGUGAGGAAUAUUGGUCAAUGGGCGAGAGCCUGAACCAGCCAAGUAGCGUGAAGGAUGACUGCCCUAUGGGUUGUAAACUUCUUUUAUAAAGGAAUAAAGUCGGGUAUGCAUACCCGUUUGCAUGUACUUUAUGAAUAAGGAUCGGCUAACUCCGUGCCAGCAGCCGCGGUAAUACGGAGGAUCCGAGCGUUAUCCGGAUUUAUUGGGUUUAAAGGGAGCGUAGAUGGAUGUUUAAGUCAGUUGUGAAAGUUUGCGGCUCAACCGUAAAAUUGCAGUUGAUACUGGAUAUCUUGAGUGCAGUUGAGGCAGGCGGAAUUCGUGGUGUAGCGGUGAAAUGCUUAGAUAUCACGAAGAACUCCGAUUGCGAAGGCAGCCUGCUAAGCUGCAACUGACAUUGAGGCUCGAAAGUGUGGGUAUCAAACAGGAUUAGAUACCCUGGUAGUCCACACGGUAAACGAUGAAUACUCGCUGUUUGCGAUAUACAGCAAGCGGCCAAG
rnacentral:rRNA from 1 species